CUAAGCCAUCGCGAGUCUGCCAAUCUAAGCAUGUUGGUUGGCGGCGAACGGCUCAGUAACACGUAGUCAACCUGCCCUCGGGGCGAGAACAAUCUCGGGAAACUGAGGCUAAUUCUCGAUAGAUCAAGAUUCCUGGAAUGGGUUUUGGUCCAAAUGAAGUGGCAGCAUCUUGCUAUUUUCACCCGAGGAUGGGACUGCGGCCGAUCAGGCUGUUGGUGGGGUAAAGGCCCACCAAACCAGUAACCGGUACGGGCUUUGAGAGAAGGAGCCCGGAGAUGGACACUGAGACAAGGGUCCAGGUCCUACGGGGCGCAGCAGGCGCGAAACCUUCGCAAUGCGCGCAAGCGCGACGAGGUUAUUCCGAGUGAUUUCCGCUGAGGAGAUCUUUUGUCGGCUGUAAAAAGGCCGGUGAAUAAGGGGAGGGCAAGUCUGGUGUCAGCCGCCGCGGUAA
rnacentral:rRNA from 1 species